CUUGCGACCGUACUCCCCAGGCGGAAUGCUUAAUCCGUUAGGUGUGACACCAACAAGUAUACUUGCUGACGUCUGGCAUUCAUCGUUUACGGUGUGGACUACCAGGGUAUCUAAUCCUGUUUGCUCCCCACACUUUCGCACCUCAGCGUCAGUAUCGAGCCAGUAAGCCGCCUUCGCCACUGGUGUUCCUCCGAAUAUCUACGAAUUUCACCUCUACACUCGGAAUUCCACUUACCUCUCUCGAACUCAAGACUAGCAGUAUUAAAGGCAGUUCCAGGGUUGAGCCCUGGGAUUUCACCUCUAACUUACUAAUCCGCCUACGUGCGCUUUACGCCCAGUAAUUCCGAACAACGCUAACCCCCUCCGUAUUACCGCGGCUGCUGGCACGGAGUUAGCCGGGGUUUCUUUACCAGAUACUGUCAUUAUCAUCUCUGGCGAAAGUGCUUUACGACCCUAAGGCCUUCAUCACACACGCGGCAUGGCUAGAUCAGGGUUUCCCCCAUUGUCUAAGAUUCCCUACUGCUGCCUCCCGUAGGAGUCUGGGCCGUGUCUCAGUCCCAGUGUGGCUGAUCAUCCUCUCAAACCAGCUAUAGAUCGUAGGCUUGGUAGGCCAUUACCCCACCAACUACCUAAUCUAACGCGGGCUAAUCCUUCUCCGAUAAAUCUUUCCCCCGUAGGGCGUAUAAGGUAUUACUCUCAGUUUCCCGAGGCUAUUCCUUAGAGAAGGGCAUAUUCCCACGCGUUACUCACCCGUCCGCCGCUCACCCCGAAGGGCGCGCUCGACUUGCAUGUAUUAGGCCUGCCGCCAGCGUUCGUUCUGAGCCAGGAUCAAACUCU
rnacentral:rRNA from 1 species